rnacentral:rRNA from 1 species
GACGAACGCUGGCGGCGUGCUUAACACAUGCAAGUCGAGCGGAGCGGCGAACGGGUGAGUAACGCGUGAGUAACUGCCCCCCUCUCUGGGAUAACAUUUGGACACGGCUGCUCAUACCGGCUAGUGGGGGAUGACUCGGGUCCUAUCGGCUUUUUGGUGGGGUAGUGGCUUACCAAGGCGACGACGGGUAGCCGGCCUGAGCGGGCGACCGUCCAACGUGGUCUGCGAGACGGCGCAAGAUGCGACGUGGGGCAGGAGAGGGGAAUAUUGCACAACGGGGGAAAGCGUGAUGCAGAAGCGCCGCGUGCGGGAUGCCGGCCUGCGGGUUGUAAACCGCUUUCAGCCAGGACGCGGUAGUGGAAGAAGAAGCACCGGCUAACUACGUGCCAGCAGCCGCGGUAAUUC